rnacentral:pre_miRNA from 1 species
AAAAAAUUCGGACCAUCGGUCUAUCGAGCAAUUUCACCCGCUCGUUGGAAGAUCUUGCCUCUGUCAU